CACGUAGUUAGCCGGUGCUUCUUAUACAGGUACCGUCACUUGCGCUUCGUCCCUGUCGAAAGGAGUUUACAACCCGAAGGCCGUCAUCCCCCGCGCGGCGUCGCUGCAUCAGGCUUCCGCCCAUUGUGCAAUAUUCCCCACUGCUGCCUCCCGUAGGAGUCUGGGCCGUAUCUCAGUCCCAAUGUGGCCGUACACCCUCUCAGGCCGGCUACCCGUCGACGCCUUGGUAGGCCAUUACCCCACAACAAGCUGAUAGGCCGCGAGCUCAUCUUGCACCGAAAAAACUUUCCAACCACCACACUAAAGGCAGUUCCUAUCCGGUAUUAGACCCAGUUUCCCAAGCUUAUCCCAGAGUACAAGGCAGAUCACCCACGUGUUACUCACCCGUUCGCCACUCGAGCACCCCUGCAAGCAGAGGCCUUUCCGUUCGACUUGCAUGUGUUAAGCACGCCGCCAGCGUUGUCCUGAGCCAGGAGUCAAACUCUA
rnacentral:rRNA from 1 species